rnacentral:rRNA from 1 species
CCUACGGGUGGCAGCAGUCGAGAAUCAUUCACAAUGGGGGAAACCCUGAUGGUGCGACGCCGCGUUGGGGACUGAAGGUCUUCGGAUUGUCAACCCCUGUCGUGUGGGAGCAAAUUAACAAGAUAGUACCACAAGAGGAAGAGACGGCUAACUCUGUGCCAGCAGCCGAGGUAAUACAUAGGUCUCAAGCGUUGUUCGGAAUCACUGGGCGUAAAGCGUGCGUAGGCUGUUUCGUAAGUCGUGUGUGAAAGGCGCGGGCUCAACCCGCGGACGGCACAUGAUACUGCGAGACGAGAGUCAUGGAGGGGGAAGCGGAAUUCCCGGUGUAGCAGUGAAAUGCGUAGAUAUCGAGAGGAACACUCGUGGCGAAGGCGGGUUCCUGGACAUUAACUGACGCUGAGGCACGAAGGCCAGGGGAGCGAAAGGGAUUAGAUACCCGUGUAGUC